rnacentral:rRNA from 1 species
UACGUAGGGGGCCAGCGUUGCUCGGAAUUACUGGGCGUAAAGGGUUCGUAGGUGGUGCGGCAAGUUGGGAGUGAAAUCUCUGGGCUUAACUCAGAGGCUGCUUUCAAAACUGCCGCGCUCGAGUGCGAGAGAGGUCAGUGGAAUUGCAGGUGUAGCGGUGAAAUGCGUAGAUAUCUGCAGGAACACCCGUGGCGAAGGCGGCUGACUGGAUCGCAACUGACACUGAGGAACGAGAGCUAGGGGAGCAAACAGG